rnacentral:rRNA from 1 species
AUAUCAGUCAUGCAUAGCAUAUCAAUAAGCGGAGGAAAAGAAACUAACAAGGAUUCCCUUAGUAACGGCGAGUGAAGCGGGAAGAGCUCAAAUUUGAAAUCUUCAAGGUUUUACCUUGACGAAUUGUAGUUUAAAGAAGUGUUUUCUGUUGAAGUUUUGGUAAAAGUUCUUUGGAAUAGGACAUCAUAGAGGGUGAGAAUCCCGUAUUUGACCAUUACUUUCAGCUUUGUGAUACACUUUCAAAGAGUCGGAUUGUUUGGGAAUGCAGUCCAAAAUGGGUGGUAAAUUUCAUCUAAAGCUAAAUAUUGGCGAGAGACCGAUAGCGAACAAGUACCGUGAGGGAAAGAUGAAAAGAACUUUGAAAAGAGAGUUAAACAGUACGUGAAAUUGUCAAAAGGGAAGCGUUUGACACCAGUGUUGUUUUCUCGAAAAUCAAUUAAAAAGAGUUGGAUUUUGUGUUGUAUUGACUUUAUCAGCUUUCUUCACUCUUUUCCAGCUUUUUUUAAUGCACUUUUCGUUUAACAAGUCAACAUCAGUUUCUUUUGUUGUAAAAAGGUCAUUGGAAGGUGGCUUUCUCUUCGGAGAAAGUGUUUAUAGCCUUUGACUCAUGCAAUCGGAGAGACUGAGGUCUGCAGCGUAGAUCCUUCGGGGUUAGAUACAUUUGUGCUAAGUUAUAGCUUUUCAUAGGACAACUUGUUGACUAUGUUUAGUCUUGUAGCUUACUCGCUUAUGCUAUUUUACCUACGCUUAGGAUGUUGAACUCUAUCACACACAG